rnacentral:rRNA from 1 species
GACGAACGCUGGCGGCGUGCUUAACACAUGCAAGUCGAACGGGCCCGCCCCUGUUUUUGGGGGUGGGUUGAGUGGCGAACGGGUGAGUAUCACGUGAGUAACCUGCCCCCUGCUCCUGGAUAACUGCUUGAAAGGGCGGCUAAUACGGGGUGUGCCGGCUGGUCCGCAUGGGCCUGGUCGGGAUAGUUUCAUCUUCGGGUGUUUCGGUGGGGGAUGGGCUCGCGGCCUAUCAGCUUGUUGGUGGGGUGAUGGCCCACCAAGGCGGUGACGGGUAGCCGGCCUGGGGGGGUGGGCGGCCACGCUGGGACUGGGCCACGGCCCAGACUCCUGGGGGAGGAGGCGGGGGGGGGUAUGGCAAAAGGGGGGGAAGCCUGAUGCCGCGACGUCGGGGGGGGGGGGGGGGCCUUCGGGUUGGGAACCUCUUUCCCCGGGGGUGAAGGCCCUGUCCGUUGCGGCGGGGUUGACGGUAGCCGGGUAUGAAGCCCCGGCUAACUACGU